rnacentral:rRNA from 1 species
UAUCUCUGUAGAGUCUGCAUAUCAAUAAGCGGAGGAAAAGAAACUAACUAGGAUUCCCUUAGUAACGGCGAGUGAAGCGGGAAGAGCUCAAAUUUGAAAUCUUCAAGGUUCUACCUUGACGAAUUGUAGUUUAAAGAAGUGUUUUCUGUUAGGAGUGAGUACAAAAGUUCCUUGGAAUAGGGACAUCAUAGAGGGUGAGAAUCCCGUAUUUGACUUAUUCAUUCUAACUUUGUGAUACACUUUCAAAGAGUCGGAUUGUUUGGGAAUGCAGUCCAAAAUGGGUGGUAAAUUUCAUCUAAAGCUAAAUAUUGGCGAGAGACCGAUAGCGAACAAGUACCGUGAGGGAAAGAUGAAAAGAACUUUGAAAAGAGAGUUAAACAGUACGUGAAAUUGUCAAAAGGGAAGCGUUUGACACCAGUGUUGUUUUUCCGAAAAUCAAUUACGAAUGGCUUGAUUUUGUGUUGUAUUGACCUUAUCAGCUUUCUUCACUUUUUUCGAGUCUUUCUUAAUGCACUUUUCGGUUAACAAGUCAACAUCAAUUUCUUUUGUUGUAAAAGAGUAUUCGGAAGGUGGCUUUCCUUUUCGGAGAAAGUGUUUAUAGCCCUAUACUUCUACAAUCGGAGAGAUUGAGGUCUGCAGCGUAGAUCCUUCGGGGUUAGAUACACUUGUGCUAAGUUGUAGCUUUUCAUAGACAACUUGUUGACUAUGUUUAGUCAUGCGGCUUACUCGCUUAUGCUAUUUUACCUACGCUUAGGAUGUUGACGAGACUGUCGAUCUC